AAGACUUUGACAACAUAUAUUCUUUAUUAGACUGCACCAUCAUGUCUCUCUCCCUCUGUACCUCCACCUGCACCAUCAUGUCUCUCUCCCACCUGGGCCUCCACCUGCACCAUCAUGUCUCUCUCCACCUGGGCCUCCCCCUGCACCAUCAUGUCUCUCUCCCCCUGCACCUCUACCAUCAUGUCUCUCUCCACCUGGGCCUCCACCUGUACCAUCAUGUCUCUCUCCACCUGGGCCUCCACCUGCACCAUCAUGUCUCUCUCCACCUGGGCCUCCACCUGCAUCAUCAUGUCUCUCUCCACCUGGACCUCCACCUGCACCAUCAUGUCUCUCUCCACCUGGGCCUAAUAUCAGAACAUAUUCAAAGCAGCUGAUAACUAGUUCACGUGCUACAAUUGUUAGGGUUAGAGCAGGUGGAGUGAGACUGAGGCUGGUCAGAACAGUAUUUAAAGCGUCACCUCUCCCAGCUUCAGUAGGCUCUGACCAUCACAGAGAAGAUCCUUCACUCACCUCUCAACAGGGAAGACCCUUCACUCUCACCUCUCAACAAAGACCCUUCACUCUCACCUCUCAACUCAAGGUCCACUUGUCUGACUCUCCGGUGCAUUUCCCCUGGACUGCCAUGAUGAUGAGAAUGAAGCUGACCUUCCUUUUGGCCAUCUUACUUUUUCAACUGACCAUCUCCGUUAAAGGAGGGGGAUCUGCUUCUAAGCCAGCUCAACAGGCAGAUAAACAGUUUAGAUUUGGAGAUAUCAUUCGAACCAAAAUGAAGUGGAAAGAUAUGACCUAUCUGUCCGAAUACAAAAAGAGGGGGAUCCCUCCAGGAUAUCACUUUGCAAUCUGGGUUGAUAACCCACCAACGAACGUUGUGAUGUCUAAUCAAAACAAUCGCACCAUUUUUCACUUUGAUGGAAAAAAAGUAAACUGUACAUAUGCCUAUAUUGAAGAUAUCAAUAAGUGGCAGCAGUAUAAUGUUCGUGACAACACGCCUGGUUUUAAUGUCCAACCACUAAAACAAAUAGCCAGUAAUGUGGAGGAAAGAUUUCACAAUUGUGGUGACUAUUCAGUUUUGAGAAACAAUUGUGAACAUCUUGUGACAUGGCUCCGAUAUCAUAAUAAGGUAUCAAAACAGGAUGGAGCUGUUGGAAUCUUUUUACAUUACUUUAAACCCGCUGAAUGGCCUGCUACACUGCCACCAGUUAUUGAACCAACGACUUGAGUUCUAAACCUCUCAGAUGUUCUCUCUCUCUUCCAUCCUCUCUGUCUCUGUAUGAAGUGAGGUCUAACCCUCUCAGAUGUUCUCUCUCUCUCUUCCAUCCUCUCUGUCUCUGUAUGAAGUGAGGUCUAAACCUCUCAGAUGUUCUCUCUCUCUUCCAUCCUCUCUGUCUCUGUAUGAAGUGAGGUCUAAACCUCUCAGAUGUUCUCUCUCUCUUCCAUCCUCUCUGUCUCUGUAUGAAGUGAGGUCUAAACCUCUCAGAUGUUCUCUCUCUCUUCCAUCCUCUCUGUCUCUGUAUGAAGUGAGGUCUAACCCUCUCAGAUGUUCUCUCUCUCUUCCAUCCUCUCUGUCUCUGUAUGAAGUGAGGUCUAAACCUCUCAGAUGUUCUCUCUCUCUUCCAUCCUCUCUGUCUCUGUAUGAAGUGAGGUCUAAACCUCUAAAUGUUCCCUCUCUCUUCCAUCCUCUCUGUCUCUGUAUGAAGUGAGGUCUAAACCUCUCAGAUGUUCUCUCUCUCUUCCAUCCUCUCUGUCUCUGUAUGAAGUGAGGUCUAAACCUCUCAGAUGUUCUCUCUCUCUUCCAUCCUCUCUGUCUCUGUAUGAAGUGAGGUCUAAACCUCUCAGAUGUUCUCUCUCUCUUCCAUCCUCUCUGUCUCUGUAUGAAGUGAGGUCUAAACCUCUCAGAUGUUCUCUCUCUCUUCCAUCCUCUCUGUCUCUGUAUGAAGUGAGGUCUAACCCUCUCAGAUGUUCUCUCUCUCUUCCAUCCUCUCUGUCUCUGUAUGAAGUGAGGUCUAAACCUCUCAGAUGUUCUCUCUCUCUUCCAUCCUCUCUGUCUCUGUAUGAAGUGAGGUCUAAACCUCUAAAUGUUCCCUCUCUCUUCCAUCCUCUCUGUCUCUGUAUGAAGUGAGGUCUAAACCUCUCAGAUGUUCUCUCUCUCUUCCAUCCUCUCUGUCUCUGUAUGAAGUGAGGUCUAAACCUCUCAGAUGUUCUCUCUCUCUUCCAUCCUCUCUGUCUCUGUAUGAAGUGAGGUCUUAAUAAUAAUAAAACAUGAGCAAGAAU
rnacentral:lncRNA from 8 species